GCAAGUCGAACGGUAAGGUCUAGCUUGCUAGAUACACGAGUGGCGCACGGGUGAGUAACGCGUACAUAACCUACCCUUAAGUGAGGAAUAGCCCCGGGAAACUGGGAAUAAUACCUCAUAGUAUUACUUUAUUGAUUUUGAAGUAAUUAAAGCUACGGCGCUUAAGGAUGGAUGUGCGUCCCAUUAGAUUGUUGGUGAGGUAACGGCUCACCAAGUCGACGAUGGGUAGGGGGCGUGAGAGCGUGAUC
rnacentral:rRNA from 1 species